ensembl:miRNA gmo-mir-26b gmo-mir-26b
UUCAAGUAAUCCAGGAUAGGUUUGUUCUGACAAGCAGUAAAGCCUAUUCAGGAUGACUUGUUU